UGGGUAAUACUUGUUUGUACUUUUCAGAGUAGAUGGAUGUACAGAACUUUGAAAGUCAAGAAGAACAGAGCAAAGCACCCACCUGCCCAGCCUCCCACCAGUAAUCCUUGCUGAUGCAACUGGGAAUGUCACAGCUGCCCUGGUUCUGUCCCUUCACUGCUCCUUGUGCUCCAUAGUCCUUCACUGGCAGAACAGUAUGAGAAGCUGAGAAACUGCAGUGUCCUUGGCUAUGUACAGCACUGUUCAGCAAUCCAGCCUCAAAGUAAACUGAAUUGGCUACGGUAUUGUAACACUUCAGCAAAAAGGUGGAGAGGAUUUCUGCUCACCGUCAGCUUUCUGCAGUCUUACAGUUGAUUCAGCUGUUUGCUUUUAGGCUGAUGGACUUCAGAAGAGAGCGUGGCUAGCAGAGUCUGUGAAGGAAUAUUAUUGCUUCAUUUAAAUGAAUAUAACCCAAAGAACAAAUUUAGAGGAAAUGUGUGCAUUUUGAUGGAUGUGCAAGCCAGCUCCACAGGGGACAUUUAAAACAAAGUUGUUAAUCACCUUUUGUUGCCAGUUGAUUGGGAAAUGGCUGUAAAUAUUUGAUGAUAGUGCAGUAGAAUAUCUGCCAAGUGCUGGUUGGUGAGACUUGGGUGCUCAGUUCUUCUUUAAAGUGAGUCCUUUGCACGUGAAGGAAAACAAAAGUUCAUUCAAAAUUUUCAUCAGAAGGAUGAAAAUUAAGCAUCUUGGUCAUGAGCUUUAGUUUUCCUCACAACAUUCUUGCUUUUUCUCUGACAAGGUGAGGUGUGAUGGCUACAACUCCUUUGCCACCUGUGGAGAUUAUGCCUUCUUGCGUCAGAAGCUUACUGUGAGCCUGAUGGAGCUUUGCAUAAGUAACAGCGAGUGUUUUGGAGUAGAUUCUGACAAAAAGCCAUACAACUAUUUACAGAAAUAAUUGGAGUCUUUCUAUUUUGUACAAGCAUCAUUCCUGUUCAGUAGUGGAGGAAGAGUUCCUUUAUUUACUGUAUGGACGGCUCCGUGACAAUACAACAGUGAAGGAGGAUGUAUAGUAGAUUAAAAAAUCCCAUAAAGUCCUUUCUGCUAAUUGAAAAGUGAUCCACAGUGACUGUAGGAUUAAGAAGGUGUGUAUAGCUUUGUCCAAGCAAGUAGUGAAGACAAUGGCUUGGUAACAAGGUAGCUAAAGCUUUUGCAAGGUUAUUUCAUAGACUGUAGAGCAGCUGUUUGGUUUUUUUCCUCUCCACUUUUUCCGUGUUUUUUUUUUUCCUACAUGCUGUUUGUAUAAUGUUCCCAGUAUUUAUAAAGAAAAAGUCAUCAAUAAAGGUCUUCCAAG
rnacentral:lncRNA from 7 species